rnacentral:rRNA from 1 species
UACGAAGGGUGCAAACGUUGCUCGGAAUUAUUGGGCGUAAAGCGCACGUAGGCGGCUUGGCAAGUCGGAUGUGAAAUCCCUCGGCUCAACCAAGGAAGUGCAUCCGAAACUGCUGAGCUUGAGUACGAAAGAGGAUCGCGGAAUUCCCGGUGUAGAGGUGAAAUUCGUAGAUAUCGGGAGGAACACCAGUGGCGAAGGCGGCGACCUGGGUCGAUACUGACGCUGAGGUGCGAAAGCGUGGGGAGCAAACAGG